AAACGAAACGACCGAAACCGUGGGAAUCAAAGUGAUGGCAAUUGAGUUUGACUCCAUUUUUGACUCCAGCUUCCCAUCCCUCUCCAUCGUCGCCACUACACAGUGACAGUGUGUGUUUGAGAGAUGGCUUAUGCUGCUUUGCUUCCUCUUAAGCAAUCGCUACACGCCCUUCUUAGUUCUGGUGCCAUUUCCCCUUUUCAAACCGUACAAUUGCUGGAAACGGCUCACGACGCCGUGAGGUCAUUACAACGAGUUCUGGAAAAAUCGGACGACACCGCCGGCAGCAAGAGGCUGGAUGCUUUGGAGGGACGAAUCCGAGAUGAAGCACAUAAAUUCGAUGAUGUUUUGGAGUUCUCAGAUACAAUUCUCUCAUCCCAUGGAAGUAUCGAAGAGAUCGAAUCGUUUAUUGCGACGGUGAAGAAGUUGGAAGGGGAAUACGUGAAAGAACUAGACACCCCGUCAUUGUCUGAAGAAGCCGCUGCUUCAACUACUGAUUUUAGUGCUAAGAUGGUCGGAUUAUCUCACGAAUUCGCAGAGAUCAAAGCAGAGGUGCUUAGCCGCAUGAGGCCGGAUGAUUUUGGUGUUUUCUCCAUCGUUGGGGCGGGCGGAGGGACGGGUAGGACGGGUGUCGCCAAGCAAGUUUUUGAUGAUUUAUGCGUUGCGAAUGAAGAGGCUUUCGACUGCGGUGGGUGGGCCCGCGUUGGCCCAAAUUAUGGAUGCAAGGACAUCCUCUUGAGCAUUGUUGCUCAAGUAGAUCCCGCCAUCCAUGAAUUUCUUGUUAUGGAAGGCGAAGACGAAGUAGCAGAGUAUCUGCACACAACUUUGAUGGGUCGUAGAUAUAUGAUUGUGCUAGAUGAUAUAUGCAGUAUAGAGGCGUGGGGCUCUCUGAAGAGGUCAUUUCCGGAGCAAGAUAAUGGAAGCCUAAUCUUGCUCACAACCACCCUAAUGGAAGUAGCUCAAUAUGCUGAGAGUUUUUAUAUUUAUGAAAUGGCCUCCUUCUUGACUGUAAACUACUGCUGGGACAUUCUUCGCAGUACAUUUUUUGGUUUAGAGGCAGAACUCGAGGAAGCUGGAAAGAAGAUUGCAGAGAAUUGUCGAGGCCUUCGCCUUGUGCUUGUUAAGGUUACACUGUUCUUACUUAUAACUGAGAGGACACCGGAGUUAUGGAAUAAGCUGGCUGCAGAUCGAGAAAGCUCAGUAUUCAUGGUUGCUGAUGAAUUAUCGGAGAUUUAUAAACUCAAACAAGUUCUUAGCAUUGUGGAUGACACAAGCUUAAGCCAAUUGAUGUUACCACUGAUUACAUUACCGACUCUAAAUCAGAAUUUGAAGAGCCAGAUGUUCCCAAAUAGAUUGAUUCCGAAAAUGGAAAUAAUGACGUUCUUUGGAAUGGCAGGUAUUGGCAAAACUCAUCUCAUCAAAAGAGUUCUCGAAGAGCAAUCUAUUUUAAAUCAUUUCGACCAUUAUGUGUGGAUUACCUUAGGCCUAAAAUACCAGUCUGAAGAAAUCUUGGUCGAUAUUCUGGCUCAAAUAUUUCCCCACUUUAACAAAAUGCAAAUUAAAGCAGACGAGAAACUAACUCAGGAUUUGUGCGGACAGUUAUCUCAUAAGCAAUGCCUCAUCGUUUUGGAUGAUGUAUGGUACGAAGAGCCCUUGCAUCUCUUGCAAAAGCUGUUUCAAAACAUCAAGGGUAAAACCUUGGUGACGACUAGGUUAGCAAAGGUAGCAAAUUUGGGCAAGAUUCACAAAAUGCGGCUGUUAAAUAAAGAAGAAAGUUGGUCUCUUUUCUGUCAGAAGGUGUUUGCUGAAGAAUCUUUCCCUCCUCAACUGAAGAAAGCUGGAAAGAUGAUCACUGAGAAUUGUGAAGGUCUUCCUCUUUUAAUCCUCGCAGUCGCUGACCUCUUAUCCAAAGUGGAGAAGACUAGAGAGUUCUGGAACAAGGUAGCAGAGAACAAAAACUAUGUUUUUAGGCGAGCACACGAUGAAACAUCCAAGGUACUGCUUCCGAGCUACGAGAGCUUACCUCACCACUUAAAAGCAUGCUUUCUGUACAUGGGAGUUUUCUCUGAAAACUAUGAGAUCUCAACCUCGAAGCUCAUUAACUUUUACAUUGCUGAGGGAUUCCUCGAACCAAAUGCGUCCCUAACGAUACGAGAUUUUGCUGCAAAAUGUUUAUCAGACCUUGUAGACAGAAGCCUUGUUAUGGCCUGCAAGGAGGGCUCAAAUUUUGGAAUCAAGACUUGCCGCCUCCAUUCUGUUUUUUGGUAUCUAUCCAACUCUGAAGCUGCGAAGAGCAAGUUUUUCCAUGCAUUGGAUAAAUACGCAGAUGUUUAUUCAGAUGGCAUGAAAGGUCGGCGCAGAUUGUGCAUCCGUAAUAGCACGUUAUUGGGCAUAAGAGAAACCCAAGACUCGAUUGCUUCCCUUUCAACUACUCGUUCUCUGCUAUGUGUUGGUCCACCUCAUCAAUACCCUGUUCCAAUAUGUUUAGUUGCAGAGCUGCUAAGGGUGUUGGAUGCUCUUACUAUCCGUUUCUACGAGUUCCCAGUUGAAGUAAAGAUGUACAUUCGUCUCAAAUACCUUGCUCUCACGUAUAACGGGGACCUCCCUUGCUCCAUAUCCACACUUUCGAGCCUUCGGUUCUUGAUCGUGACUCAACAUCUGAGCAUCAAAUCCUCUGAACAUUCAUCAUAUCUGCCGAUGGGAAUCUGGGAUAUGAAGGGAUUGGAGCACCUACAGGUCAUGGGAAGAGACUUGCCUAAACCCAAUCACGGUGCUAUAUUACCAAACCUUUCAACUCUGUCGGGUGUGGGUGUUCAAACUAUUACCAUGAGUGUUCUUGAGGGAAUCCCUAAUCUGAAAAAGCUGGGCAUUCGAAUUGAGUUGGCACCCGAUGACAAUCUCGUUGAUUCUCUCCAUUGCUUGAAUCGUAUUUCUUGUCUCCAGAAGCUGGAAUCACUUAAAUGUGUGGUCGUGAACCCGGAGCUGAGGUCCGAGGCUGUUCCCCCGCCUGCGCCUGUUACAAUGUUCCCGGCUUGCCUGAAGAAGUUGAGCUUGAGCGGGCUUGGAUAUCCGUGGGAGUACAUGAGCAUAAUUGGCGGGCUGCGAAAUCUGCAAGUGCUCAAGUUGAAAUGCUACGCGUUUGCAGGAGCAGAGUGGGAGACGGAUCCGUAUAGUUUCGCGGCGCUUAAGUUUCUGUUAAUCGAAGAUACUGAUCUGGUGCGAUGGAAGACCAAAUUUCGCAGCUUUAUGAAGCUCGAGUGUGUGAGCUUGAAGCAUUGCUAUGAAUUGGAUUUGGAAGAGGGCCCACAUCAUUUUCCGAGCUUGUCUUUUAGACUGAUUGAAGUGGUUGACUGUCCUUACACGGUGCGGCGAGAAAACGAGGGUUUCAGAAGGCCAACGGGUGCGGCGGAGCAGCUCAAACAUUCAAUCCAUUCUUCAUGGACGUCUGAUCGUAGGCUUAAUCAGUGAAUGCAAUUGGUUCAUAAGGUUAGUAACGUUAGUCGCUGUGAUACUCAUAAUUCUCUCUCUCAACCCAAAAAAAAAAAAAUGUUUUUCGUAGGUGAUAUAUAUAUAAUCACAAAAGCUAGUAGAAGAGCCGGAUAGGCUUUCAGCUUUCGACAUUUGAUGCUAUACAAUUUCACUGGCGAAAUUUGCAAAUGAGGCAUGUGUAGUGUAGGAAUACCUGAAGUGGUAAUUAGAUGCUGAAUUGUGGUUUACGUAAUUCAGUAAGCAUGCAAGAAGCAUGAUUUAAGCAAGACUUGGUGUUUUUUUUCGGUGCGUUUUUUUAUUUUUAUUUUCUCACAAAAACUUGUGACACUUUUUAUAAAUCAAAUAAGACCUUUUUUAAGAGAAAAUAAGAUUUUUCCUAAUAGGUAAUAAAUCAUUUUUUAAAUAGCAAAUAAUAAGACUUUAAGAAUUUUUAUUCGUAAAUGAGAUUUUUGUUCGAAUGUAAUUAAUACUUUUUUUCAUAAAAUCAAAUAAAAAUUUUCUUCAUAUCAAAUAAGAUUUUUUAUUUGUAAAUGAGAUUGGCUUGAAUGUCAAUAAUAUUUUUCAUUCAAUAAUAUUUUUCAUAAUAGUAAAUAAGACUUUUCGUAAUAUCAAAUAAAAUUUUAAGAUAUUUAUUUGUAAAUGAAAAUUUUUGCUUGAACGUAAAUAAUAAUUUUUCAUAAAAUCAAAUAACUUUUUUUAUAAAAUCAAAUAAGGUUUUUGAUAGGAGCAAACUCUACUGAAAACAAAUAAGACUUUAUAAAUAAAAUUUAUAAUAAAAAAUUUGUAGUAUAAUAGAUAAGACACUUGUUAAUCCAUAGAUCUAGGAUUUGAUACUCAACUUAAUCAGUCCAGCCUCACCCCGACCCGCGGCGGCUUGUGCCCAGUCUGCCCUCGGUUCUCUCCAAGUCCGGUCUCAUAUAUGAGACCGAUCUCAUGCAAGCAAGGGUGGAGCCAAGCCCCCGACGACAAGAGGGGCAAAAGUUUUUGCCUCUCUACAUGUUUUAAUUUUUAGUGGGCCAAGAUUAAAUAUUUUUAUGAUUUUAUAUACAUUAUAAUGUUGUAAUACCCUGAGUUUCAAUUCAGUGAUUAAGAGUAUAAUAUGAUUAAUUAGUAUUUUUGCAUCAUUUAUUUAAUUUAUUCUUGAAGCUAUUUGAUAAUUACUAAUUGUUGGAUUUCUUUAAGAUUAUAGAUUUGAAGAGGAUGGAUUAGAAUAUUUCUUAAUCGACUUUGGUUCGAUUUAAUGAAGUAACGAUUGUUAUUGAAUUAGUAAGUUAUGAAAAUAGCUUACUAAUUUAAUUAGUUUUUAUUUAUGAUAAGAGGUUAAAGAAAAAGAAAAUGUAGUGGACGUUUUUUUUUUUGUGUUUUUGGUUAAGUGUUAGUUUGAUUAAUUAGAUAGAUACUUGUUAGUUGUAAAAAAAAAAAAAGGAAAAAAAAUUGAGUCAGAUAUUUUAUCUUUCCUCCCCCAUAAUACGCAGCCACCCUUUUCUCUUCUACUCUCUUUCUCCAGAUCAGAUCCUCUGUCCUAGAAUAUUGUGUGUACCACGUGUACCACUCUUCAUUUCUUUGUUUUACAAAUUGUUUUUUAUAAAAAUAAAAAUUAUUAUUAUAUUAUAAACUCUAAUUAGUAUUUAUUAUUGAAAAAUUAAAAUUUAAAAAAUUAUAUACCCUAACUUUGAAUUAAUGAACCCAAAUAAUCUAUUAUUAAUUCAAAUAAAUAUAAAAAAAUAAUUAUAAACCCUAAAUGGAUGAGUGAACCCUUGUUAAUUAUCUUUAUAUUAUAUAAAAGCAUAAUAAAUUAAAAUUGAAUAAAAAAUAAUUUAAAAUUUUAAAGAAAUGAAGAGUGGUACACACUAUAUUUUGGGACAGAGGAUCCCAUUCGCUCUUUCUCGCUUAAACACACAGAAGCCAUAGGAGCAGAAGUCUCAAGCCUUGAAGCUCUGAUUUGAAGCCCUAAUUUCGGUGCGAUCACGUUUUCGAACACAGAUUUAGUAACGGUCCAAGGGAAGGAGGGGACGCGUGCCUACUAACUUAAGGACGUAACGAGGUUGAGCUGAUGAGGUGAUGGAGCUGUGCUGAGCGGAAUAUCUCUGGGUUGUUAAUAAAUAAUAAGUUCACGUGUCUAAUAUAUGUCUUCAUACAUGUAACUAGCUAUGUAUUCUGCUGCAAAACUUUGGUGUAUCCUUAUAUUAUAAAACAAUAAGUCUUUGAUAUGUGGGGUCACUUUGAGAACCUGUAUAACUUAUAUUUUGAAGGUUAGAUUAUAUAUGUACCUUUUCGACUUCUA